rnacentral:lncRNA from 1 species
UAUCACUUAAGAAAACAGUAACACUGUAUAGUUCCUACUUCUUCAAGGUCUUGAGCAAAGCAUAAAUUCUCAUGAAAACGAAGUCACUGCACUUCAAACAUCAGACAGCGAAGUAGGUAAGUCUUACUGUUGCUUGUAGUGCUGAUUUUACCAUAUUUUGUAAUUUAUAGGCUUUUUCUUUUUUUCUCUCCUGCUUUGCUCAGUAAUUCAAAUAAGUAUUUUCUCAGGUCUUAAAUAUAAAAUUGUCAAAUAUUGUAAAAUAGUGCAAUAUACUGAGAAGGGGAUAUUGUUACUAACUUGUGAUUAAUUUUCAGGUUAAGUCUACAGAGCUGCACUUCAUUUUUUCUGAGAACUCUGCGCUUUCUUGUUUAUUCUUUCUGCAAGUGGAGUGGAUCGUGAUCUGGCUCGUUGUUCCUUUUUCCUAUGCAUAUACUUCUUUGAGAAUUGCUUCUAAAGAGGUAUAGGGCAUGGGAAAAUGGGGCAACAGAGGUACUUCACCACUCAUCUCGAACAGCAUCGUGAAGGCAGCGGCAGAAAUGUUUGGAGAAAGCAGACGGGCAAAGAAAUGAAAGGUGCCGGGAUCAGCCCCCCCAGAAUCCAGGUGUCUUGGAAGAAGAAGUAGAAAAUCUCUUUGCUCAUUUUAUUUAAUAGAAAAACAGUCAUUAAACACAAUUUUUAUGUAUUUAUUUUAUUAAAGUAAUUUCCAAUUACUUUACUCUAAAUAGCAAUGUGUCACAUCAGUUUUGGGGGGAAAAGUAUUGGUUUUAUGAAACAAUGUAACUGUACAUAAUGCUUGUCAAAUAAAUAUUUGAUGUUUCAGUCA